rnacentral:rRNA from 1 species
AGUCACGACGCAUAUCAAUAAGCGGAGGAAAAGAAACCAACAGGGAUUGCCUCAGUAACGGCGAGUGAAGCGGCAAGAGCUCAAAUUUGAAAGCUGGCCCCUUCGGGGUCCGCGUUGUAAUUUGCAGAGGAUGCUUCGGGUGCAGCCCCCGUCUAAGUGCCCUGGAACGGGCCGUCAUAGAGGGUGAGAAUCCCGUCUGGGACGGGGUGUCUGCGUCCGUGUGAAGCUCCUUCGACGAGUCGAGUUGUUUGGGAAUGCAGCUCUAAAUGGGUGGUAAAUUUCAUCUAAAGCUAAAUACUGGCCGGAGACCGAUAGCGCACAAGUAGAGUGAUCGAAAGAUGAAAAGCACUUUGAAAAGAGAGUUAAACAGCACGUGAAAUUGUUGAAAGGGAAGCGUUUGCGACCAGACUCGCCCGCGGGGUUCAGCCGGCAUUCGUGCCGGUGUACUUCCCCGUGGGCGGGCCAGCGUCGGUUUGGGCGGCCGGUCAAAGGCCCUCGGAAUGUAUCACCUCUCGGGGUGUCUUAUAGCCGAGGGUGCAAUGCGGCCUGCCUGGACCGAGGAACGCGCUUCGGCUCGGACGCUGGCGUAAUGGUCG